rnacentral:rRNA from 1 species
AUUGAACGCUGGCGGCGUGCUUAACACAUGCAAGUCGAUCGGUAACAGGUGUAGCAAUACAUGCUGACGAGAGGCGGACGGGUGAGUAAUGCUUGGGAAUCUGCCUAUUAGUGGGGGACAACCCGGGGAACUCGGGCUAAUACCGCAUACGCUCUACGGAGGAAAGCCGGGGACCGCAAGGGCCUGGCGCUAAUAGAUGAGCCCAAGUCGGAUUAGCUAGUUGGUAGGGUAACGGCCUACCAAGGCGACAAUCCGUAGCUGGUCUGAGAGGACGACCAGCCACACCGGAACUGAGACACGGUCC